UACGAAGGGGGCUAGCGUUGCUCGGAAUCACUGGGCGUAAAGCGCACGUAGGCGGACUCUUAAGUCGGUGGUGAAAUCCUGGAGCUCAACUCCAGAACUGCCUUCGAUACUGGGAGUCUCGAGUCCGGGAGAGGUGAGUGGAAUUCCACGUGUAGCGGUGAAAUGCGUAGAGAUGUGGAGGAACACCAGUGGCGAAGGCGACUCUUUGGCCUGUAACUGACGCUGAGGCGCGAAAGCGUGGGGAGCAAACAGG
rnacentral:rRNA from 1 species